UACGUAGGGACCAAGCGUUGUUCGGAUUUACUGGGCGUAAAGGGCGCGUAGGCGGCCUGCUAAGUCGAACGUGAAAUCCCCGGGCUCAACCCGGGAACUGCGUCCGAUACUGGCAGGCUUGAAUUCGGGAGAGGGAUGCGGAAUUCCAGGUGUAGCGGUGAAAUGCGUAGAUAUCUGGAGGAACACCGGUGGCGAAGGCGGCAUCCUGGACCGAAAUUGACGCUGAGGCGCGAAAGCCAGGGGAGCAAACGGG
rnacentral:rRNA from 1 species